rnacentral:rRNA from 1 species
UAGCAACUGAAAUCACAAAUCACAAAUGUGCUUAUUGUGAUAACGUAAGGGAAAAAAUUGAUAUUACCUUACUAUAAGUGUUGUCUAAAUAACUGGUGCCAGAAGACUCGGUAACACCAGAAACGCGAACGUUAGUCGUCUUAAACAGGCGUAAAGGGUAAGUAGGCUGCUUUAAAGUCUAUUUUUAAAUAAGCUAAUUAAUAAUAUUCCUUGACCAUUAAGGUCGCAGGGCCCUGACUAAGAAAAUAGUUAAAAAUUUUAUCAGAGCUUAGAUUAUAAAUUAAGGCUAACUAAAAAUGAAAAUAGGGAAAAAUUAAUAUGUAACAAAAAUAGAUACACUUAAAGCUAGAAUCAUAAUUGAGAUAAACCAAAUAAUACUUAUGUGUAAGGGCGAUAUCUGAAAAUACUAAGUAGAAUACUAACGGUGAAAACUUUUUAUCUGGUAAUGAUUGACGCUGAGGUACGAAAGUGAGAACAGGGAAUAGGAUUAGAUACCCAGUUACCUCUCACCGUCAACGAUGAAUGGUAGUUGUUAGUUUAAUUAAAUUAGUGACGAUGUUAACGCGAUAACCAUUCCGCCUUGAGAGUACGGUUGCAAAACUGAAACCAAAAAAAUUAGUCGGUCUCGGAGCAAACGAGUGAAGCAUGUAUUAUCAAU